GCUAAACGCGAAGAACCUUACCUAGACUUGACAUCCCCUGAAUUACCUGUAAUGAGGGAAGUCCCUUCGGGGACAGGGAGACAGGUGGUGCAUGGUUGUCGUCAGCUCGUGUCGUGAGAUGUUGGGUUAAGUCCCGCAACGAGCGCAACCCUUAUCAUUAGUUGCUACCAUUAAGUUGAGCACUCUAAUGAGACUGCCCGGGUUAACCGGGAGGAAGGUGGGGAUGACGUCAAAUCAUCAUGCCCCUUAUGUCUAGAGCCACACACGUGCUACAAUAGUGAGUACAACGAGAUGCGAACCCGCGAGGGGGAACUAAACUCAAGAACUCAUCUCAGUUCGGAUUGCAGGCUGCAACUCGCCUGCAUGAAGCUGGAGUUGCUAGUAAUCGCGAAUCAGAAUGUCGCGGUGAAUACGUUCCCGGGUCUUGUACACACC
rnacentral:rRNA from 1 species